AUUGAACGCUGGCGGCAUGCCUUACACAUGCAAGUCGAACGGCAGCACGGGUGCUUGCACCUGGUGGCGAGUGGCGAACGGGUGAGUAAUACAUCGGAACAUGUCCUGUAGUGGGGGAUAGCCCGGCGAAAGCCGGAUUAAUACCGCAUACGAUCUACGGAUGAAAGCGGGGGACCUUCGGGCCUCGCGCUAUAGGGUUGGCCGAUGGCUGAUUAGCUAGUUGGUGGGGUAAAGGCCUACCAAGGCGACGAUCAGUAGCUGGUCUGAGAGGACGACCAGCCACACUGGGACUGAGACACGGCCCAGACUCCUACGGGAGGCAACAGUGGGGAAUUUUGGACAAAGGGCGAAAGCCUGAUCCAGCAAUGCCGCGUGUGUGAAGAAGGCCUUCGGGUUGUAAAGCACUUUUGUCCGGAAAGAAAUCCUUGGCCCUAAUACGGUCGGGGGAUGACGGUACCGGAAGAAUAAGCACCGGCUAACUACGUG
rnacentral:rRNA from 1 species